UACGGAGGGGGCUAGCGUUGUUCGGAAUUACUGGGCGUAAAGCGUGCGCAGGCGGUUUGUAAGUCAGAUGUGAAAUCCCCGGGCUUAACCUGGGAACUGCGUUUGAAACUACAAGGCUAGAGUGUGGCAGAGGGGGGUGGAAUUCCACGGUGUAGCAGUGAAAUGCGUAGAGAUGUGGAGGAACACCGAUGGCGAAGGCAGCCCCCUGGGUUAACACUGACGCUCAGGCACGAAAGCGUGGGGAGCAAACAGG
rnacentral:rRNA from 1 species